rnacentral:rRNA from 1 species
AUUGAACGCUGGCGGCAGGCCUAACACAUGCAAGUCGAGCGAGCGGCGGACGGGUGAGUAAUGUCUGAGAAACUUCCUGGUGGAGGUGGAUAACUACUGGAAACGGUAGCUAAUACCACAUACCGUCACAUCUGCCCAGAUGGGAUUAGGUAGUAGGUGGGGUAAUGGCGCACCUGGGCGACGAUCCCUAGCUGGUCUGAGAGGAUGACCAUCCAGCAUGGAACUGAUAAACGGUCCAGACUCCGAGGGGAGGCAGCAGUGGGGAAUAUCGAACAAUGGGCGCAAGCCUGAUGCAGACAUGCCGCGUGUGUGAAGAAGGCCUUCGGGUUGUAAAGCACUUUCAGCGGGGAGGCGUUACCCGCAGAAGAAGCACCGGCUAACUCCGUGCCAGCAGCCGCGGUAAUAC